CGGAGGAAGCAAGCUGAUGGCAGGCGAGCGGCCCAGGGAGGCAAGCCGAGGGAGAGCAGAGGCACCAGUUCCUGAGCAUUUCCUAGAAAACUACUCUUCGGUUUUCUGUCAAAACAGAGAGUAGCAGUGGAGGGACCAACCCCAGAGGACCUCUUCGGCGAAAGAAACGCUGACUUUGGGAGUUGCCAGAUUGGGAGGACAGUGUGCAACCCGUGGAGAGGCCCACACGGGUGGAUAGGAAGUACUUCUGCCUCCUGCCAACAGCCUCUCGAGCAGGACUGGGAGCAGGUCCUCCACUGCCAGCUGAAUCUUGACGUGACUGCAGCAGCAGCCAACAGCUUGACCCGCCUUGAGCCCCAGGCACUCAGGACUGUGCUGUCUGCUCACUUUUGCCAGAUUACUGCU